UACGUAGGGGGCGAGCGUUGUCCGGAAUCAUUGGGCGUAAAGCGCGUGUAGGCGGCUCGGUAAGUCUGCUGUGAAAGUCCAGGGCUCAACCCUGGGAUGCCGGUGGAUACUGUCGAGCUCGAGUCCGGAAGAGGCGAGUGGAAUUCCUGGUGUAGCGGUGAAAUGCGCAGAUAUCAGGAGGAACACCAAUGGCGAAGGCAGCUCGCUGGGACGUGACUGACGCUGAGACGCGAAAGCGUGGGGAGCAAACAGG
rnacentral:rRNA from 1 species